GACGAACGCUGGCGGCGUGCUUAACACAUGCAAGUCGAGCGGUAAGGCCCUUUCGGGGGUACACGAGCGGCGAACGGGUGAGUAACACGUGGGUGACCUGCCCUCAGCUCUGGGAUAAGCCCGGGAAACUGGGUCUAAUACCGGAUAUGACUUCAUGACGCAUGUUGUGGAGUGGAAAGCCUUGUGCGGCUGAGGAUGGGCCCGCGGCCUAUCAGCUUGUUGGUGGGGGAUGGCCUACCAAGGCGACGACGGGUAGCCGGCCUGAGAGGGCGACCGGCCACACUGGGACUGAGACACGGCCCAGACUCC
rnacentral:rRNA from 1 species